GAUGCUCUGUUUCAACUUAUUACUUGUAUAUGACCUAUGUUCAUCCGUUCAUUUUCUCUCUUGCGACUAUUAUCCCGAUGUCACCAGAUGAGGUCCUGCGCAAGGGUAGUGGGACCCUCUGUGAAAUGCUUCUAAUGGUCCAGGCAUACAAGGCAAAUGUUAUUUGCCCUAACAAACACCAAUCUGAAUCAGAGAAGUUUCAUAAUAACCGUCUUCUUGAAAGCGAGACAUAUAUAGGUGGUCAUGUGGAAUGCCUUGAAGGUGGAGUUUUUAGAUCUGAUCUUUUAACUAGUUUUAAGCUUGAUCCAUCUGGAUAUCAGCAACUGAUUGACAACCUUGAUCGUGAUCUGUAAUAUGCUAUAAGAGUUGAGGGUAAGAUGGACUUGGAUUCCGUAUCUAAUUAUGAUGAAGUGAGGAGUUCUAUCUUUGAAAAGGCUGAGCUUUUCGACAAGUUUCUCAAUGGCUCAACCUUAGUGGAAUGCUAUUCAGCUGUUGCUUCUGUUGCCAACCGCUGGCUUGAUCUUCUUGAUGUAUGUCUUCCAAUAGACUUUGCUUCUUAUGCUAUUCUGCUGUCUUCUGUGAUCUUUGCAGAUAAUUUUUUCUUUAUUCCUUUUCCCACAGAAUCAAGGAAAGGAUAUUGCGGACAGUGAGUUGCUCGAGUAUAUAUCUGAAUCAAGUACCAUGAGUAAGUCUCUAGCAGACUACCAAAGUCAUCAUCGACAUUCACAAUAAGUUCAGUCAGAGAAAAGGAGGCUCUCAUGCAAUGAUCCCAAAGUGAAGAAUACGAAGAAUGUCAAGAAAAAUGACAUUAUUGAGUUUUCAAUGUAUAGAUAUUUUUUUUAUGAAAUGUGCUUCUUAAUAAGCAAUGAAUAUUGUAUAAUAUAUGUUUGUUUAUUUUUUUAUUAAAGUUAAAUAAUUUAUUUGA